CUUAAUUCCUUUCUGAAUUUAUCCAUUACUGUACAUUUGUAAAUCUACAAUCUAUCUACUGUACCUGACACUCCCAUCUCCCAUCAUUCCACUGGGGGAGUAUGGAGGGAGUCAUGGAGUGCCAGGGUGAACGAGAUGAUAUACAGUACAGUACAGUAACAGAGGGGAAGUGUUGGGUGUGGGGUGGUAGCCUGCUGGUGUCCUUAUGUAUAGGCAGAGAUGUCCAAGUAGUCCAGACACACACACCAACACACACACACACAAACACACACACACUCAGCGCUGGUCUGACUGUGUAAGCAGAAAAAAGGAUUAUUCAUACACAUAACCUUGAGUAACAUAUGGUAUAGUUGAUAUUAAGAGUACAUGUAAUUUAACAUUCGUAAAACAUAUUCCUGAUAGUCUUAGUUUGUGAUUAUAUGGUCUCGUAUGUCAAAGUGCUGACUGCCAGGGAGUGUAUAGCUAACCAUAAAUCCCUCUGUUGAAACAUGUCUGUGCAUUUUCUGUCAUAUCCUUGUGUUCUAGAGCAGAGAUCUUAAAGUUGUUAAAAAUACUUUGCCCAUCUAUAAUGUGAGGUGCGUCGGAGGGGGAUACACAAGUCAAAAGUUGCACACAAAAAAAACCCUUACACUCUAUUAAAUAGAUUUAAUAAUAGGCAAUGUUUCAGUACUAAACCAUUAUCAGACAAAAUGAAAGAAGGGAGUUUUAAGGUGUUUAAAAAAAAUGAAAAUGUAAACAUUCAUUUAACAUAUUAGCAAAUCUAAAUCAGCCUAUCUGUGCAAAAAAAAACAUUGAUAGACUUAGAGGCCUAUAUGUAAGGAAUUUACUAAGUUAAAUUUAUUUUUUAGCAGAUGUCGUAGCGGGUCCCUGCUCUGUCUCCCUCUCAGAUAAGGGGUCCUUGGGUAAAAAAAAUGUUGAAGACCCCCUAGUGUCUGUUCUCAUCGUCGUGGUGGAGACUUGUCCCGUGUACUGCUGAUUAGAGAAGGGUCAGCCAGUUUAAAUCAAAUACUCUACAGCAGUUUAACUCAAAUGGAGAUACUUUGGAGUACUGCAUGGGGUAGGUGUGAAUUGUUUUUCAUGAUAAUUUGGAAAAGUGUCCUAAAAUUAUACUAUAAUGGUGAAUGAAUUUAGUGGAUUCUUAACAUUCGAGAUAGCAUUUAAGUAUUUUCAGUUCCAAGGUUUAGUAAACCAGAGUGAUGGAUGGUGCAGCACUGUAAUUUACUUUUAUAUCUAUAUACACACACACACACACGGUUUUGUGCUGGUCAGGGGUACUGCUGGGCGGAAAAAAUAUUGUAAAGUGUGUUCAUUAUUGAAAAUGUGUUUAAGAACCAAUGCUCUCAAGAAGAGUAUUUAACUUUCCCCAGUGGUUGUCUUACUGUAUUCAGAAUGUGUUUACACCAGCCCUAUAAAUGUGUUUUGUUGUCAUGUAUCUCAUCUGUAAGUAGCAGAAUACUAUGUAAGAAUUGUAAAUUAUCUGUAAACUGAAGGUUGUAAAAUAAA